GUGCCUUAAACUAAUGAGUAAGGAAAAUUACGAGCUCUGCUGACGCUUUGCUCAGCUUCAUAACAUGCACGAAGGCUAGUCCCCCGUGCGUAAGCGUUAUUUUUACAGAGGCACAGGUCGUCCCCUAGAAGUUGUUCUGCCUACUUUGCAGAAUGCUCGGGCGUGUUGCGAUCUGCCUC